rnacentral:other from 1 species
AAGGAGCUAGUUUUUAACCUGCUGUUUGUCAACAAGGUUUCCUCCUCGUCAGAGUUAGUAACGAAUUGCUGUGUGUAGUCUUUGCCCAUCCCCUGAGAUGGGCUUUUUUUUAU